rnacentral:rRNA from 1 species
ACUUGCUUUCUUUGCUGGCGACCGGCGCACGGGUGAGUAACACGUAUCCAACCUGCCGAUAACUCGGGGAUAGCCUUUCGAAAGAAAGAUUAAUACCCGAUGGCAUAAUAGAACCGCAUGGUUUGAUUAUUAAAGAAUUUCGGUUAUCGAUGGGGAUGCGUUCCAUUAGGCAGUUGGUGGGGUAACGGCCCACCAAACCUUCGAUGGAUAGGGGUUCUGAGAGGAAGGUCCCCCACAUUGGAACUGAGACACGGUCCAAACUCCUACGGGAGGCAGCAUG